rnacentral:rRNA from 1 species
UAAGGAAUAUUGGACAAUGGCCGCAAGGCUGAUCCAGCCAUCCAGCGUGCAGGAAGAAGGCCCUAUGGGCUGUAAACUGCUUUUAUCAGGGAAGAAACCUGUGGAUUUACUCCGCAGCUGACGGUACCUGAAGAAUAAGCACCGGCUAACUCCGUG